AGGACGAACGCUGGCGGCGUGCUUAACACAUGCAAGUCGAGCGAACCUUCGGGUUAGCGGCGAACGGGUGAGUAACACGUGGGCAACCUGCCCCGAGCUCUGGGAUAACUCCGGGAAACCGGGGCUAAUACCGGAUAUGACCCGAGAAGACAUCUUCUCGGGUGGAAAGUUUUUCGGCUCGGGAUGGGCCCGCGGCCUAUCAGCUUGUUGGUGGGGUAACGGCCUACCAAGGCGACGACGGGUAGCCGGCCUGAGAGGGCGACCGGCCAACGACUGGGACUGAGACACGGCCCAGACUCCUACGGGAGGCAGCAGUGGGGAAUAUUGCGCAAUGGGCGAAAGCCUGACGCAGCGACGCCGCGUGAGGGAUGAAGGCCUUCGGGUUGUAAACCUCUUUCAGCAGGGACGAAGCGCAAGUGACGGUACCUGCAGAAGAAGCACCGGCCAACUACGUGCCAGCAGCCGC
rnacentral:rRNA from 1 species